rnacentral:rRNA from 1 species
ACGGACCAAGGAGUCUAGCAUGUGCGCGAGUCAUUGGGAAUUAGUAAACCCAGAGGCGUAAUGAAAGUGAAAAAGUUUCGUGCGUGUUUCGUGCGCGCGCGAAGAGGGAAGAUGAACGACGUGCGGCGGUCGGUGACGCGUUCGCGCGCGCCGUCGAUCGACCGUCGUUCCGCAUUCCCGAGGCGUUUCGAGAAAAGCGCACAUCGUUAAGGUGUCGUUAUUAUCGAGACGCACUGAGAGCGCACACGCUGGGACCCGAAAGAUGGUGAACUAUGCCUGGUCAGGUCGAAGUCAGGGGAAACCCUGAUGGAGGACCGAAGCGAUUCUGACGUGCAAAUCGAUCGUCUGAACUGGGUAUAGGGGCGAAAGACUAAUCGAACUAUCUAAUAGCUGGUUCCAUCCGAAGU